rnacentral:rRNA from 1 species
CACGUAGGGUGCGAGCGUUGUCCGGAAUUAUUGGGCGUAAAGAGCUCGUAGGCGGUGUGUCGCGUCGGCCGUGAAAACCUGCAGCUUAACUGUGGGCUUGCGGUCGAUACGGGCAUCACUGGAGUUCGGCAGGGGAGACUGGAAUUCCUGGUGUAGCGGUGAAAUGCGCAGAUAUCAGGAGGAACACCGGUGGCGAAGGCGGGUCUCUGGGCCGAUACUGACGCUGAGGAGCGACAGCGUGGGGAGCGAACAGG